ACUUUUGUUAUUUCGGGUAACU
rnacentral:snRNA from 1 species